UACGUAGGGUGCGAGCGUUAAUCGGAAUUACUGGGCGUAAAGCGUGCGCAGGCGGUUCGUUGUGUCCGUCGUGAAAGCCCCGGGCUUAACCUGGGAACUGCGAUGGAAACUAGCGAGCUGGAGUGUGGCAGAGGGGGGUGGAAUUCCGCGUGUAGCAGUGAAAUGCGUAGAGAUGCGGAGGAACACCGAUGGCGAAGGCAGCCCCCCUGGGCUAACACUGACGCUCAGGCACGAAAGCGUGGGGAGCAAACAGG
rnacentral:rRNA from 1 species